rnacentral:sRNA from 1 species
UUCGGUUAUAGUAAUACAAGAACCAUUUGGAUAUUUGAGGAAUUUUGGUUCGGUUCGGUUCGGAUAUUAAACUUGGUAACCAUAAAUAAACCAAAACCGAAAUAACCGACUAAAAACCGAAACAACCAAAAAAUUUGACCAAUAACCGAUAUAGAACGUACGUAAAAAAGACAUAUUCACAACUCACAAAGAUGCAAAUAUGGUCCAUUCACAACUCACGAAAUUCAACUUGCAAACUAAUAAAGAGAAGAACAUAGUUAAGUGUCAAUACAUACAAUAUAUAUGAUAUAUUAUCUAUCAUACAUAUAUGCUUUGGUUAUCCUUUGGUUAUCGGUUACUAACCUAACCAAAACCGAAACCGAAAUCUAAGACAUAUAAUAUCCAGCCGGUUAUUUUAAGCUAUUCAAACCCGAACCGAACCAUGUUUUUCGGUUCGGUUCGGUUCGGUUAAUCGGUCAGCGGUUUUUUUGCCCAGGCGUAGUAUCAAGCAACAAACGAAUCAUUUGCUCGUGAGAAUGGUACAAUAUUCUGUCCAUGUCGUAAGUACCUCAAUGAUAAAUAUUUGGAUUUUAAUUUGGUGAAGAAGCAUUUAUAUAAUAGAGGAUUUAUGGCAAACUACUAUGUAUGGUUACGUCAUUGGGAAGGUUGUAGAGAUAGCGCAAGAAGUAUUAGUAUGAAAAUUAUAAA